AUUGAACGCUGGCGGCAGGCCUAACACAUGCAAGUCGAGCGGAUGAAGGGAGCUUGCUCCUGGAUUCAGCGGCGGACGGGUGAGUAAUGCCUAGGAAUCUGCCUGGUAGUGGGGGAUAACGUCCGGAAACGGGCGCUAAUACCGCAUACGUCCUGAGGGAGAAAGUGGGGGAUCUUCGGACCUCACGCUAUCAGAUGAGCCUAGGUCGGAUUAGCUAGUUGGUGGGGUAAAGGCCUACCAAGGCGACGAUCCGUAACUGGUCUGAGAGGAUGAUCAGUCACCCUGGAACUGAGCCACGGCCCAGACUACUACGGGAGGCAGCAGUGGGGAAUAUUGGACAAUGGGCGAAAGCCUGAUCCAGCCAUGCCGCGUGUGUGAAGAAGGUCUUCGGAUUGUAAAGCACUUUAAGUUGGGAGGAAGGGCAGUAAGUUAAUACCUUGCUGUUUUGACGUUACCAAAAGAAUAAGCACCGGCUAACUUCGUG
rnacentral:rRNA from 1 species